CCUCUGUUGAGAUAACUUGGGGAAACAGAGUAGCCUCCAAGACUCAUGAAGGCUGACAAAGAAUUCCCAAAGAAGUAGAAGGAUAAAUGUUGGAUCUGAUGGUGCAGGUCACUGAAAAUUCGCUUUGGAGUUAUGGUGCUAUUGAGAAUCUCUGCCGAAUUCCCCUUGCUGAGUCUUCAUGGAACAGACGGUAAGUUGUGGCCGUUGGCGGGAAUGCUUGCCCCUUGAUCUUGCCAAAGCAAACGGGUGAAUCAUUUAGGACGAGUGUGUCUAAAGGUACUUCCUCGGUCUUGAAAUAGUCUUUAAUUCCCUUAUAUUACUUGAUCAAGCCACCCCUUUCAACUUGACAUUCUUUUAUGUUGCAGAUACUCUUCCGGUUCCGGGCUUCCCCAGGUUCUUCUGCAGCCUUGUCUGUGAGCUUAUUCCCAAGUAUCUCUUCUGAUGAGGCAGUGACUUUCCUUCCAGACUGCGGCAACACAGAGCCUCUGUUGGCAGAAGUCAUCUUUUAGAGCUAUAAAGAUCUCGACAGAAUCCAAGAAACUCACUGGCGGUCCCAGCGCAUCUCUCUGUGAUCACUCUACUACAUCACAGGAAACAAACAAUUUGGUCCAAGCUCCACUGACUGCUAUCACAGAGUUGGGAUUUAUUAGACAGUUCAGAAGUCUAGUGAUUCUGGGAAACGAGGGAGGAAAGACAUAGUGAAUUCCCAGCCCCUCACCAUAACUACUCCAGUAAAUGGAUACAACCCUGUCUCUUAUUGUGAGCUCAAAAGACUAACUUUGGAGGUCUAGAAGUUUCUAUUGUUGAUGCCACUUAAAAGAAGUUGGCUCCAAAGUCAUCAAGUGCUCUGUUUGUAGAACAAAUGAAGUUUUAAUGACCUGCAGUGCCGUUUGAAUAUUCAUGCUAAUAGGUAUUUUCCAUUUAGGAAAUAAGUAGAGUAACCAAGAAUUAAUUUCAACGGCUGGCACUUGUUAAAGGCAGCUAAUUUAUGCUGAUUCUUGACUAGAAGAAGCAAAUUGCCACAUCCAUUAAGGAAAUUAAAGAAAGCCAUUCCUAUUUCUUUCACCUGCA
rnacentral:lncRNA from 1 species